CGAUAGCAGUAAUAGGCGUGUGCAACUCGACCCCGAUCCAUUUUCUUCUGCUUUCUCGAUGCGAAUGGAGCGCAGCAGCGCCAGCGAUUACGUUUCACUCGCGUCGAAAUACGCACUUCAACGUCUCCCUGUGCUCGAACGACUUUUCAUUCACCAGCCGCCUGCGAUUUUCUGUUCUGGCAACCAUUAAUUUCAGACACGUCUCGUCCUUUGUGGCAUGAGAUUGAGCCACGUCGCAAAAAGAACGUCGGGAUCGAUCCCGGGCGUCGAUUUCUCCUUCCCUUUUCUGAAUGGGUUAUUAGCUUCAGAAAAAGCUUUCCAUCCCAAAAAUAGUGAAAGCUUUGGGGAAUUCAAAUUGAAAAUUCGUCCUCUUCUCAUCCGGUUUCCCCCUCUCCCUUUUUUUUUAUCCUAACCCUAAUUUCCCACUAUAAAACUCCUCUUUCUAGUUCACUGCCUGGGGGAGAUUAUUUUUCUUUUUGGAGAUUUUUUUUCGGAGUUGGAAAUUUUAGCUGAAGACUUCAGUUGAAAUUUUUUUUAGGCUGAGAAAAUAUUGAAGAACAUGGAGAAAGAAAAUAAAACUAAGGUUUACGUUUAAGUAAGAUUGAAUACUCGUCUAAUUCAAAAUUAUUGAAAAGUUUUUUUUAUAUUCAAAGUCGAUUCGAAACUUUGCUUGAAGUUCCCUAAACUCAUUCUUGGUGGUAGAAGACGUAGCCAAGCUCGCUCUCAUCUCAGUCCAUCUGCUCCGGAGAAGGCUGGAUCCAACACCGACCCUGUGAAAACAAGAAUGGUGACAGUCCUCGACCUUUAUCUCAAAGUGUGGUGGAGAUUCAUGAACUAUACGGACAAAAUGAUAGUUCAAGAAAACAUAGGCUGUCUUUCGUCGCUGCUGGAAAUGAAGGCUUGGCCUGACCUAAUUGGAACAAUGGUGAAGUUUUGGGAUAGUAAAAACAUGGUAUUCCGGUUUGGGGAAGUGGAAAUGACGCCGACUAUUGAAGAAGUCCUCUUAAGCUAUGAGAGUAUCUCCAUGUGCAACAAGAGGAAACGUCAACCAGAUACAUACAUUCUAAAUCCCAAAAUAUGGGAUUUCACCAAAAUCAAAGAAGAAUUGUCGCAUGUUAAAGCUGAGUGGAUGGACAAGCUUCCCGGACCAAACAUUCCUUUUAGAAAGCUAUUAUCGAUUUGGACGUGCGAGAGCUUACGAGAAAUUUAAAGAGGAGUUUGUCUCGAAAGAAAAAUGGAAGGAGACACUUCCUCUUGCCUUUGCAAUAUGCUUACUUGGAACAAUGGUCUUCCCCCAAGGGCCAAACUACACUAUUCAUCCAAGUGUAGUAAUGGUCGCUCAUUCCAUCAUCUACGAAGUAGACUAUAAGUCGUCAACCAAGUACUACACUUUGGCGCCUAUGAUCUUGGCCGACAUCUACAAAGCUUUAGAUAAAUGCCAAAGCGGAGAGUGUUUCUUUCAAGGGUGCAAUAUGAUACUUCCAUGGUGGAUGAUGCGACUUCUGAUCAAGACUCAUAUUAGAAAAGAACCAGAUCCCCUAAGACGGUCAGACGAACUACAUGGUCAUGACUAGUGGUUGUACCACAACCGUUGCAACUGAACUGGAGAGGAAAGCUUUUGGUAUCCGAGACUUCAGGGGCUAAGAGAAGAGAAUGUACAGUGGUCGAUAGAUAGUCUGGUGGUGAAAAAGGAUAUGGUGGUUCGAAUGGAAAAUGUUCCUUACUUGGUAUUUGCUGGGUUAAGAGUCACUAGACCGUAUGAUCCCGGUCGAGUCCUAAGGCAACAAGGAGGGAAACAAGAGCUUUCCCAAAUCGUAGACAUGAGGAACUUUGCAACUGACCACGAAAAUGGACGAGUCACAUUUGCUGAAGACAUACGUAGAAUGUGGAGGUCUCUAAGAGUAUUGGGUGAGCCAGUAUCAAACAGGUUUCCCGCUGAAUGUUCUAAGGGUUACAAGGAAUGGUUGAAGAAGACCCUCGCUGGAACUAUUGAGCUUGGUUUGAACGUUUCACACAUUAUUGCAGUUGUUGGAGCCAAACAUCAAGUUCAACUUCACUGACUCCAAUAAAGGUAGAUAAUAUGAGUUGGAGAAUCAACACCGACACUCAGAGGACGCCAAAGUCAUAGCUCAAUUGAAACAAGAGCUACGGAGAGCGAGACAAUGCAUGUCAGAGUUGGAUGAUAACAUGGAACAACAGAUUCAGUCGAUAGAGGGGUUCAUACAUCAAGAAGGGGCUCGAUUGGUGAGAGACCAUAUAUGGGUGAACAUAUAUGCCAUGUGGGAAGAAGUCAGCAUCGCCAAGAGGACCAUAUUUGGCGAAGGAUCAAAGCAAGCUUGAAAUUUAUUAUCAUCCCCUGCGUGGGACUUCUUUAUUUGUACUUCGUUUUGUAAUUUAUCUUCUAAACUAUUUCCUUGUUUUUUUAUUAGACACUUUGAGUUAUAUAAAUGAAAUAUUUUGGGUA